AGAUGAAACUCACAGAGAUAGAAAGCAACUAGCCCAAAACUCAACAAGAGCAAAUGGAUUGGAUUCCAGGUUUGUGCACUCAAACCGGUGCUCUUUUCACCAUGCUGCAUUGUCUCCAGAAGGAGGACUGGUUUGAAAACUUUCAAAAUAAAACAUCAGAGGAAGAAUUUCUUGGAAGAAAACCAGCUAGCCAAGUCUGCAUGUCUUCAUUCCCACGAACAUUCCAUGAAGAACUGGCAGUGCAGCCUCUGAAAGACUUUUAUUUUCAAGAAAUAAAAGAAUUGGAUGGAGUAUAUGGAUGAUAGAAACUGUGGCCCUGUCUAAGCUGUCCUCAAUCAUGGAAUUCCCUGGUGGCUCAAUGGGUUAAGGAUCCCAUGUUGUCACUGCUGUGGCUUGAGUUGCAUUGGUGGCACUGGUUCCAUCCCUGGCCCAGGAACUUCCGCAAGCCAAGAGUGUGGUCAAAGAGAAAAGAAAAGAGAAAGCUGUCCACAUUCAAAAAACGUGGUGAGUUACAGCUCUAGAACUGAGCUUCUCAUGUUACAAUUGAUGUGUUCAAUUCUGUGGUACAGCGCAAACAACAUGUUGCUAGUAAUAAUGAAAUACAAAGUUUGCAAAUGGUUUGUAUCUCUGUAUAGUUUAAUGAGGACUCAGGGUUAAUCAUGCAAUAAUGCUAUUCUUACUUACUGCCUUUGAUAUGCUUUCUUGAAUGGGAGAGGAAAGUGGAGAGAAUGAUUAGACUGGAAAUCGUAUCUGACUGGAAACUACCUUCUCAAAGCCACAUCCUGCAGUGAGUGACUUGCUGAUAUGCAGAGCAGUGGCAAUUGCCAAUUACUGCAAUGCUUAUGAACUGUGACUUCAUGACUUUUUCAGAUUUUUUUUAAAAAAUUGCUUUCUCUCUGAGUAUGAGAUGUGUGAUAUUGAGGGCUUCAAGAAUGUUUCCGUCUCUCUUAGCUACUUAUAAAUGUCAUUUUAGCAUGCAUGCUCACUAACACAGUACUCCAUUUUCUUCUAAUUCAAUACAGGGUGUUAAGAGCCUUGGUAAAGUAAAUUUGGGACAUGAGAGGGGCAUAUAUCCACAAUUAAGGGAGUCACUGAAAAGUUUUUAAGAGGGAAGUUAUACCUAAGUUGAGAUGUAAAAAAAAAAUAAAAAGAAAAGAAAGAAAAUCAAAUUGAUUUAUAAUAUUACCUAUCAGAGUAGAAGUCUAGGGAAAAAAGUCAAGGUUCUUUGGAGUUCUCUUGUGAUGCAGUGGGUUAAGGAUCCAGCACUGUCACUGCAGUAGCUUGGGGUCACUGCUGUGGUCCAAGCUUGAUCCCUGACCGCAGAACUGCCACAUGCUGUGAACACAGCCAAAAAAAAAAAAAAAAA
rnacentral:lncRNA from 1 species